AAGAGAAUAGCUCAAUGGUAGAGUCUUGGUUUCCAAAACCAAAUGUUGUGGGUUCGAAUCCUAUUUCUCUUG
rnacentral:tRNA from 1 species